rnacentral:rRNA from 1 species
GAUGAACGCUGGCGGCGUGCCUAAUACAUGCAAGUCGAGCGAACAGACGAGGAGCUUGCUCCUCUGACGUUAGCGGCGGACGGGUGAGUAACACGUGGAUAACCUACCUAUAAGACUGGGAUAACUUCGGGAAACCGCAGCUAAUACCGGAUAAUAUAUUGAACCGCAUGGUUCAAUAGUGAAAGACGGUUUUGCUGUCACUUAUAGAUGGAUCCGCGCCGCAUUAGCUAGUUGGUAAGGUAACGGCUUACCAAGGCGACGAUGCGUAGCCGACCUGAGAGGGUGAUCGGCCACACUGGAACUGAGACACGGUCCAGACUCCUACGGGAGGCAGCAGUAGGGAAUAUUCCGCAAUGGGCGAAAGCUUGACGGAGCAACGCCGCGUGAGUGAUGAAGGUCUUCGGAUCGUAAAACUCUGUUAUUAGGGAAGAAAAAAUGUGUAAGUAACUAUGCACGUCUUGACGGUACCUAAUCAGAAAGCAACGGCUAACUACGUG